GUCAAAUCAUCAUGCCCUUUAUGUCCCGGGCUACACACGUACUACAAUGGACGGUACAGAGCGGGGCGAAGCCGCGAGGCGAAAGCGAAUCGCUUAAAGCCGUCCGUAGUCCGGAUUGAAGUCUGAAACCCGACUUCAUGAAGUUGGAAUCGCUAGUAAUCGCGCAUCAGCAUGGCGCGGUGAAUACGUUCCCGGGCCUU
rnacentral:rRNA from 1 species